UACGUAGGUGGCGAGCGUUGUCCGGAUUUACUGGGCGUAAAGAGCGCGCAGGCGGUCGAUCAAGUCGGAUGUGAAAGCCCCCGGCUCAACUGGGGAGGGUCAUUCGAUACUGGUCGACUCGAAGGCAGGAGAGGGAAGCGGAAUUCCCGGUGUAGUGGUGAAAUGCGUAGAUAUCAGGAGGAACACCAGUGGCGAAGGCGGCUUCCUGGCCUGUUCUUGACGCUGAGGCGCGAAAGCUAGGGGGGCAAACGGG
rnacentral:rRNA from 1 species